GUGUCAGCAGCCGCGGUAAUACGUAGGCAGCAAGCGUUGUUCGGAGUUACUGGGCGUAAAGGGUGCGUAGGCGGUCCUUUAAGUUUGGUGUGAAAUCUCCCGGCUUAACUGGGAGGGUGCGCCGGAUACUGAGGGACUAGAGUGCGGGAGGGGAGAGUAGAAUUCCUGGUGUAGCGGUGAAAUGCGUAGAUAUCAGGAGGAAUACCGGUGGUGUAAACGGCUCUCUGGACCGUAACUGACGCUGAGGCACGAAAGCGUGGGUAGCAAACAGGAUUAGAUACCCUGGUAGUCCACGCCCUAAACGAUGCAUGCUUGGUGCGGGUGAUUCAGUUCAUCUGUGCCGGAGCUAACGCGUUAAGCAUGCCGCCUGGGGAGUACAGUCGCAAGGCUGAA
rnacentral:rRNA from 1 species